rnacentral:misc_RNA from 1 species
GAUGAAGAACGUAGCGAAAUGCGAUAAGUAAUGUGAAUUGCAGAAUUCCGUGAAUCAUCGAAUCUUUGAACGCACCUUGCGCCCUUUGGCCAUUCCGAAGGGCAUGCCUGUUUGAGUAUCAUGAACACCUCAACUCUUUAUGGUUUUCCAUGAUGAGCUUGGACUCUGGGGGUUUUGCUGGCUCACAGUCGGCUCCUCUAAAAUGAAUCAGCUUACCAGUGUUUGGUGGGUAUCAUGGGUGUGAUAACUAUCUACGCUUGUGGUUUUUCCACCAGGUAACCUUCAGCAGUGGAGGUUCGCUGGAGCUCAUAGAUGUCUCUCCUCAGUGAGGACAGCCCUUUGAAUGUUUGAUCUCAAAUCAGGUAGGACUACCCGCUGAACUUAAGCAUAUCAAUAAGCGGAGGA